GACGAACGCUGGCGGCGUGCUUAACACAUGCAAGUCGAACGGAAAGGCCCUGCUUGCAGGGUACUCGAGUGGCGAACGGGUGAGUAACACGUGGGUGAUCUGCCCUGCACUUCGGGAUAAGCUUGGGAAACUGGGUCUAAUACCGGAUAGGACCGCACUUUAGUGUGUGUGGUGGAAAGUUUUUUCGGUGUAGGAUGAGCUCGCGGCCUAUCAGCUUGUUGGUGGGGUAAUGGCCUACCAAGGCGGCGACGGGUAGCCGGCCUGAGAGGGUGUACGGCCACAUUGGGACUGAGAUACGGCCCAGACUCCUACGGGAGGCAGCAGUGGGGAAUAUUGCACAAUGGGCGCAAGCCUGAUGCAGCGACGCCGCGUGGGGGAUGAAGGCCUUCGGGUUGUAAACUCCUUUCGCUAGGGACGAGGCUUUUUGUGACGGUACCUAGAUAAGAAGCACCGGCUAACUACGUG
rnacentral:rRNA from 1 species